rnacentral:rRNA from 1 species
CUCAGAUUGAACGCUGGCGGCAGGCCUAACACAUGCAAGUCGAAUGGUAACAGGAACAGCUUGCUGUUUCGCUGACGAGUGGCGGACGGGUGAGUAAUGUCUGGGAAACUGCCUGAUGGAGGGGGAUAACUACUGGAAACGGUAGCUAAUACCGCAUAACGACGCAAGACCAAAGAGGGGGACCUUCGGGCCUCUUGCCAUCAGAUGUGCCCAGAUGGGAUUAGCUAGUAGGUGGGGUAACGGCUCACCUAGGCGACGAUCCCUAGCUGGUCUGAGAGGAUGACCAGCCACACUGGAACUGAGACACGGUCCAGACUCCUACGGGAGGCAGCAGUGGGGAAUAUUGCACAAUGGGCGCAAGCCUGAUGCAGCCAUGCCGCGUGUAUGAAGAAGGCCUUCGGGUUGUAAAGUACUUUCAGCGGGGAGGAAGGGAGUAAAGUUAAUACCUUUGCUCAUUGACGUUACCCGCAGAAGAAGCACCGGCUAACUCCGUG